rnacentral:tRNA from 1 species
GCCUCUGUGGCGGAAUGGUAGACGCGGCAGACUCAAAAUCUGCUGUCCUUAUGGAUGUGAGAGUUCGAAUCUCUCCGGGGGUA